AAAAACAACACUCAUGCUCGGACUAAAUUGGAACAGUGCGCAAACUUCAGGGAAAAAAUGCAAGGAACAGAAUAAGGUCAAGUCAAGGGAAGUGCAAAUAAGGAGGGACUGGCCGCGAAAUUAUCCAUUUAGAGGAAUAUGCGCAUCUCCCACCUAUAUUCAACGUACAGACUACUUUUUCCCUUCCCCAGACAUUGCUUUUAAAAGUAAAAAACAAAUAAAGCCUUCACUUUGAUUUCCUUUUUUUUUAAAACAUUUAAGAACCCUUUUUUUUUUUAAAAUGUUUUUAACUUUCUCUGCUAGGAUUCCAAACCAAAAUGUGCAGCCACUAAACCGCCACCAUACGGUGGCCGACAGCGCGCAAACGAAGGCCAACUUCACCAACGGAGGAGAACUCCGACCAUGAAUGGGAAGGGCUAGGUUCGAUUGAGCACAACUCUGACGUGGCUUGAUGGAGGAGCGUACGGCACGGAGGGGCGCACGAUGUGCGGCACGUGAUAUGUGGGCGUGGGCACGAGCAGCAGCUUUUCUAGGGUUUUCUUUUGCUGGAAAAAAAAAUUAAGUUAUUGGGCUAAAAACUUGGGCUAGGGUUUAGUCUAUUUUUUUAUAUUUUGGGCUUAAAAUUGGACUGUUUAGUUUUUUGAUUUGGGGGUUGUGUUUAAUGAAUUGUAUUUUGGGCCGGGUAAAAAUUGAGUCCAACAGCUAUAUAAAUAGCUUUUCACAAUUUAUUUCACAUUUCAUUAUACAA